rnacentral:rRNA from 1 species
AUACGUAGGGGGCAAGCGUUAUCCGGAAUUAUUGGGCGUAAAGAGUGCGUAGGUGGUUUUGUAAGCGCGGGGUGAAAGGCUAUGGCUCAACCAUAGUAAGCCUUGCGAACUGUAAGACUUGAGUGCAGGAGAGGAAAGUGGAAUUCCUAGUGUAGCGGUGAAAUGCGUAGAUAUUAGGAGGAACACCAGUGGCGAAGGCGACUUUCUGGACUGUAACUGACACUGAGGCACGAAGGCGUGGGGAGC